rnacentral:snRNA from 1 species
CAGUGUUACAACUCUCUUUAGAAUUUGGUCAGCAGGUUUUCUGUCUUAACUGAAAAGCCCAA